GACGAACGCUGGCGGCGUGCUUAACACAUGCAAGUCGAACGGUGAAGCGCCUUCCUUUUUGGUGGGUGUGGAUGAGUGGCGAACGGGUGAGUAACCCGUGAGUAACCUGCCCCCUUCUUCUGGAUAACCGCAUGAAAGUGUGGCUAAUACGGGAUAUUCUGGGUCUGUCGCAUGAUGGGUCUGGGAAAGAUAUUGUUUCGGUGGGGGAUGGGCUCGCGGCCUAUCAGCUUGUUGGUGGGGUGAUGGCCUACCAAGGCGGUGACGGGUAACCGGCCUGAGAGGGUGGACGGUCACACUGGGACUGAGACACGGCCCAGACUCCUACGGGAGGCAGCAGUGGGGAAUAUUGCACAAUGGGCGCAAGCCUGAUGCAGCGACGCCGCGUGAGGGAUGGAGGCCUGCGGGUUGUGAACCUCUUUCGCCAGUGAAGCAGGCCUGCCUCGUUUGUGGGUGGGUUGACGGUAGCUGGAUAAGAAGCGCCGGCUAACUACGUG
rnacentral:rRNA from 1 species